rnacentral:sRNA from 1 species
GCUGGGCAUGGUGGUGCAUGCCUGUAAUCCCAGUGGCUUGGGAGGCUGAGGCAAGAGGAUCACUAGUUCAAAGCCAGCCUUAGCAAUUUAGUAAGGCCUUAAACAACUCAGUGAGACCCUGUCUCUA